rnacentral:rRNA from 1 species
AUUGAACGCUGGCGGCAGGUCUAACACAUGCAAGUCGAGCGGAUGACGGGAGCUCGCUCCUUGAUUCAGCGGCGGACGGGUGAGUAAUGCCUAGGAAUCUGCCUGGUAGUGGGGGACAACGUUUCGAAAGGAACGCUAAUACCGCAUACGUCCUACGGGAGAAAGCAGGGGACCUUCGGGCCUUGCGCUAUCAGAGGAGCCUAGGUCGGAUUAGCUAGUUGGUGGGGUAAUGGCUCACCAAGGCGACGAUCCGUAACUGGUCUGAGAGGAUGAUCAGUCACACUGGAACUGAGACACGGUCCAGACUCCUACGGGAGGCAGCAGUGGGGAAUAUUGGACAAUGGGCGAAAGCCUGAUCCAGCCAUGCCGCGUGUGUGAAGAAGGUCUUCGGAUUGUAAAGCACUUUAAGUUGGGAGGAAGGGCAGUAAGUUAAUACCUUGCUGUUUUGACGUUACCGACAGAAUAAGCACCGGCUAACUCUGUGCCAGCCGCCGCCGUAA